rnacentral:lncRNA from 1 species
CUUGUCGUUAAAUAUAUAUAUAUAUUUUUUAAGAGAGAAAGGCAGAAAGCUGUCUGCUUCCAAAAUUUAUUUAUUUAUUUUCAAAAAAUGAACUCUACUAGAAAUAUAAAGUUACCAUGCUUCGAACUUAGGGUUUCAGGCACCAACCAUCGAACCCUUAACUAACUGCAUCAGAUACAGUCAGUACCUAUCGUAAAGUAUUUAAUUUUCAAUUUUUGAUAGUUAAAAGUUGGAUGUCAAAAUUGUG